rnacentral:lncRNA from 1 species
GGUACAUGGAAUCAUGGAUGCAAAUAGUUAUGGGUUGUAGAGUAUAGGCAGUCACAUAAUCCAGAAUCAUGUAUACAUGUCAUGGACCACGAAGCCCAGCCAUGGAUGAGCAGCAGCAGUUCAAUGUCAAUGUCAAGGUUCUUCUAGUUUGAAUCUACAUACAUACAUGCUUUACUGAAUUUUUGCUGCUUGGUCAGACCCUAGUGUUGAAUAAGAUGGACACUGACUGCAUUGUUUGCUAAUUAAUUAUUUUGCUUGCUCCCACAAAAAUUCACUAUAAUCUAGUUUGCCAAUUGGUCUAGUUGGAUUUCUGAAGAUGUUAGCAAAGCUUGCCACACUGCUGCUAAUUGUCAACUGAAUGAAGCUGCAAAAUUUGGAGUUGCUGCUGCUUCUUGUGUUCAUUUCCUUGCUGUCGAAUUUGUACCUGACUAGUCUAGUUAGUACUAUUGCAGCAGGUUGAUUGACGGAAAACUCUUGCCCCUGCUUAACAUAUCUAAAAUCUAGUCAAAUUCAUCAACAACAUAUUUUUACAGCAAAAAAGCAUUCAAUAAGCUGACCUAUCUAUAUGCACACUUUGAGGAAGAAAUAGGAUAUAUAUGUGCUUCUGUUGCUUCUAAAUUAUAUACAUGUAUUUUUAGUUAUUCAACAUGCUUGAAGCUUUUUCUGUUCGAUUUGGUGCAGGAGGAUGCCCGAGCUGACCAGGAGGACACCCUUCUACACCUCGGCCACCACAGAAGGUCGUCCUUCUAUUUUUUUCGCUGUUUGUUCAUGUCCUACUUGUGUUUCAGUUCCAUUGGCUCCUACUUCAAACAGGUCUAUAACAAGUGCUUGUGUUCUGCAUAGUAGCAGAUCUGUUUAUGUGAGCUACAAUGGCCUACUUCUUCCUAAUAAUAUGAAGACUAUCUCAUCUUGCCAUUUUCCCCUCUCUCCUGCAGGUUAACACCUAGAGAGGCUCGAGCUAUCAGCAGUGAGCUGUUGCUGCUGCCGCUGGAUGCUCCAGCGGCGAAACCUCCGUCGAUUCCCUCCAUGGCCACUACCACUACCCUAGCUACCGCCGUCGACGAAACCACCACCAUAUCCUCGCUCGGCCAAGAUCAGCUCCUUUAGAACUUCCUCCGCCUGCCAAGCCUACCGGCCCUCGUCCGCGCCACGCUCACUUGCCGCUCGUGGCUCGACGCUGUCCACUCCUCCCGCUCCUUCCACAACCUCUUCCGCGCCCUCCACCCGGCGCCCCUCAUCAGGAUCUUCCUCGAUGUCGAUGAAGGCAAUGUCCGCUUGUUCGCCCCUUCAGCCGCUCAGACCCCGGUGUCAAUAAGGACAUUACACUAGCAGAUUAGCGCAAUUUUUCCUUUUCAUUUUUCUUAUUAUUGGAGUGAGGAUGUUAGAAUGAGGAAUUGUAUGAUAGUAGAUACGACAAUAGUGUAAUAGUAUAAUUAGGAAUAACGACAUUUCCAUCACUAUUGUGUUUUCUUGAACUGUAUGCAUAAAAUGGAAUUUGUCGAUUUUAUUUUUUUAAUUCCUAAUUCGUUAGUAAUGGCGUGGGGACAAAUUUGCACGCUACUGGUAUUUAGGAUACUAGUAGCAUUGGUAUUAUAGACGCGCUACUACUAUUUCAUUAGUAGUAGCGUGGGUUCAUAAUAGUAGUAGCGUGGGUGGAAACGCGCUACUACUAGCUAUUAGCUGUAGCGCGAUACUAGUAGCGCGGGAACCCGCGCUGCUAGUAGCCAUUUUACUCGCGUUGCUAGUAGCCUUUUCCCUAGUAGUGUGUGUUGCAUCACAUUAUCUCACUACCACUGGGCCCACCUAUCGGCUUGUAUCUCCUCUUCUACACUCUUAUAAAAAAACAGAGUUGGUGAUGACAGUGUGCCUGCCAUCCUGCAACUUAAAUUGCAACUAUCCCUAGGUGGUUUUGGUAAUUCCUAACAACAUAUAGCUCAUUGAGCUAAUGCUAUUCCAAGAUUAAUAUUACAGGAAAAGCUCAAUGAUUG